UACGUAGGGGGCUAGCGUUGCCCGGAAUUACUGGGCGUAAAGCGCACGUAGGCGGUCUUUUAAGUCGGGGGUGAAAUCCUGGAGCUCAACUCCAGAACUGCCUUCGAUACUGGAAGACUUGAGUCCGGGAGAGGUGAGUGGAACUGCGAGUGUAGAGGUGAAAUUCGUAGAUAUUCGCAAGAACACCAGUGGCGAAGGCGGCUCACUGGCCCGGUACUGACGCUGAGGUGCGAAAGCGUGGGGAGCAAACAGG
rnacentral:rRNA from 1 species